GAAGAAUCCGUAUCUGAGUGGAUCGGCCACUGUGCAAGACGAGAAGCACGACGAAACUGAGUGGGAGAUGAGGCCCUGCGGCAUGCUUGUCCAGAAGCGAGAAGAUGACAAUGGCGCCGAUGUUUCUUCUAGCGGCCCCAUGAUCGCCGUCAGUGUUACUCAUGGCCAUGGCCCUACCAAGUACAAGAUUUUCCUUCCUGCUCAAUCGACUUUUGGUGAUAUGAAAAAGCACCUUGUGGCGAAGACCGGUUUGCAGCCUGAAGAACAGAGACUCCUAUUUCGGGGUAAGGAGAAGGA
rnacentral:misc_RNA from 1 species